UACGUAGGGGGCAAGCGUUGUCCGGAAUCAUUGGGCGUAAAGCGCGUGUAGGCGGCCCGGUAAGUCCGCUGUGAAAGUCGGGGGCUCAACCCUCGAAUGCCGGUGGAUACUGUCGGGCUAGAGUGCGGGAGAGGCGAGUGGAAUUCCCGGUGUAGCGGUGAAAUGCGCAGAUAUCGGGAGGAACACCAAUUGCGAAGGCAGCUUGCUGGGACGGUACUGACGCUGAGGCGCGAAAGCGUGGGGAGCAAACAGG
rnacentral:rRNA from 1 species